rnacentral:rRNA from 1 species
UGUGUAGGCGGAAUAUUAAGUCAGUGGUGAAAUCCUGCAGCUUAACUGCAGAACUGCCAUUGAAACUGUUAUUCUUGAGUUCAGUUGAGGUAGGCGGAAUGUGUUGUGUAGCGGUGAAAUGCUUAGAUAUAACACAGAACACCGAUUGCGUAGGCAGCUUACUAAACUGAUACUGACGCUGAUGCACGAAAGCGUGGGGAGCGAACAGGAUUAGAUACCCUGGUAGUCC